GACGAACGCUGGCGGCGUGCUUAACACAUGCGAGUCGAACGGAAAGGCCCUGCUUUUGUGGGGUGCUCGAGUGGCGAACGGGUGAGUAACACGUGAGUAACCUGCCCUUGACUUUGGGAUAACUUCAGGAAACUGGGGCUAAUACCGGAUAGGAGCUCCUGCUGCAUGGUGGGGGUUGGAAAGUUUCGGCGGUUGGGGAUGGACUCGCGGCUUAUCAGCUUGUUGGUGGGGUAGUGGCUUACCAAGGCUUUGACGGGUAGCCGGCCUGAGAGGGUGACCGGCCACAUUGGGACUGAGAUACGGCCCAGACUCCUACGGGAGGCAGCAGUGGGGAAUAUUGCACAAUGGGCGGAAGCCUGAUGCAGCAACGCCGCGUGCGGGAUAACGGCCUUCGGGUUGUAAACCGCUUUCGCCUGUGACGAAGCGUGAGUGACGGUAAUGGGUAAAGAAGCACCGGCUAACUACGUG
rnacentral:rRNA from 1 species